rnacentral:lncRNA from 1 species
AACAGUUUUUCAACUGUGAGUCUGAAGCUGGAGGUCAAGACUGAAGGUGUGACUCUGGGACUCUCCCUGGACAAACCCAUCUUUCAAGCUGCCUGCCUUAGAAUAACAUCAAGACAAGGUUGGGAAGAAAUUCUCCAUUCAUUCUGGUGGACAGAGUGAUUUUGGAAAAGAAUUUCUCAUUCCAAGAGUUUCUACGGACUCUUCAACUGGAUUUCUGCUGCUUGACCCACCAAGGACUCUGUGAAUAUUGUUCAGGAGUGUUGGACUUCCCUUCCCUACCUGAAAAGCUAUCAGAAGCAGCUUCAGAUAAUUUGACUAAUAUCCAUUCACUUGUGCUCAAAGGAAUUUGAUGGAAUAGCGGAGUAGAUUAUGGAAAUUAAAUAGAACUAACAACUACAAAGUCAUGUAUUUGAGGAAACACAGAAGUUCACUAAUAUGAAAUCAAAAGUUGAGGUGGUAAGAAUUGAAAGGAGAAAAAUAUUUUUGAGCUAGUAGAAAAUAGACACCAAAGGUGUCAAAUGAUAACAUUUGUACAAACCAGUGGAAUUGCUUGUUGGCUCUGGGAGAGGGGAGGAAAGAAGGAAUGGAAAGAAAAUUAAUCGUGUACACAUGGAAAAAAAUUAAAGAAAAUAUACACCAAGAUCUAGAUUAGGGGACUACUUUGUAUAUUGGGAAUGUUAAAGGAGAAGUUGUUCAGAAUUGGUUUGCCUAACAAUGGAAAUGAAGGAAAAUUCUGGCCCCCUACUCCUCCCAAUGAAUGAGAAAAGCUAGAACCAGCAUUAGAAAGGAUGACCAGGGAUGCAGUACCUUCCAUAGACAACCAGGACCUAGCAAAAGAAGAUGAAAGGAACAUGAGAAGAAGAAAUUGUAAAUGAAAAGGCAUUUGUUCAUUACAGCAUGGAAGUUCCAAAAGGUAAAAUAGAAGACAAUCAGAUCUAGAGUUAGACAAUGAAGUGGAAGGGUUAAGGUGAUGUGGAUAGGAAAGAGAAGGCACUAGCUAUUGGGAGGGGAGAUUUUUCUUCAGUCUUUAGGGUUCAUUAUCACUUGAAUGAAGAGAAUAAGCAAUAAUUGGGAUAACAAUUAACACUGGGGAAUGAGAACAAUUGUAUCAUUGGAUAGGACAGUGUCUAUCAAAUGGACUGAUGAAACAAGGAUAGGUUCAAUUUAGUUCAAAGUAGGAAGUUUUUGUACUGAUGAG